rnacentral:pre_miRNA from 1 species
AAUAAAUACUGUUUUAGCUCUAUUCAUGUUCAACGUUUCACCGUUCGUUUUACUUAAAAAAAAGUUUAUAAUUAGUAUUUUUGUUGUUAUUAGAUGAUAAAAUAUGAAUAAUACUUUAUGUAUGACUAAUUUUUUUAAUAUUUUUUAAAUAAGAUGGAUGGUCAAACCACUAAACACAGAUAUUUAUGGCUGUACUUAUU